rnacentral:snRNA from 1 species
GCCAUGUGCAAUGCAAAUGCUAAAAUUGGAAUGAUACAGAGAAGAUUAGCAUAGCCCCUGUGCAAGGAUGACACAAAAAUUUAAUUCUAUAUUA